GCGCGGGUUUCGAUGGCAGCCGAGCGCUUCCUUCGCCUCCACAGCGGUGCGGUCGGCACCCGCAGGAAAGCCCGCCUUUCUCGCCCCGCAGGGGCCGGCCCCUGCCACCUGUCGCGUGGCCACUACCGCCUAGUGUUUCCUUGAGUACCGUCAGGUCCUUGAAGGAAGUGGGGAGAAAGAGGGUGAAGCCUUUAAUAUGGUGGAUUACAUUGAUUGAUUUUCAAGUAUUGAACCAGACUUGCAUUCCUGGAUGAAAUCCUACUUGGAACACCGAACUUUUCCACAGUGGCUGCACUGCAUUACCUUUCUACAAGCAAUGUAUGAGGAUUCCAAUUUUUUCUGUAUUGUCAACAACACGUGUUUUCUAUUUGUUAAAUUAUAGCC